rnacentral:rRNA from 1 species
ACGGGUGAGUAACACGUAGGCAACCUGCCCUCAAGCUUGGGACAACUACCGGAAACGGUAGCUAAUACCGAAUACUUGUUUUCUUCGCCUGAAGAGAACUGGAAAGAUGGAGCAAUCUGUCACUUGGGGAUGGGCCUGCGGCGCAUUAGCUAGUUGGUGAGGUAACGGCUCACCAAGGCGACGAUGCGUAGCCGACCUGAGAGGGUGAUCGGCCACACUGGGACUGAGACACGGCCCAGACUCCUACGGGAGGCAGCAGUAGGGAAUCUUCCGCAAUGGGCGAAAGCCUGACGGAGCAAUGCCGCGUGAGUGAUGAAGGUUUUCGGAUCGUAAAGCUCUGUUGCCAGGGAAGAACGCUUGGGAGAGUAACUGCUCUCAAGGUGACGGUACCUGAGAAGAAAGCCCCGGCUAACUACGUGCCAGCAGCCGCGGUAAUACGUAGGGGGCAAGCGUUGUCCGGAAUUAUUGGGCGUAAAGCGCGCGCAGGCGGUCAUGUAAGUCUGGUGUUUAAUCCCGGGGCUCAACCCCGGAUCGCACUGGAAACUGUGUGACUUGAGUGCAGAAGAGGAGAGUGGA